rnacentral:tRNA from 1 species
GCCGAGCUCAGAGGGUGCAUCCCAGCUGCAUAGCCUCCGCUCUCCUAAAGCGGGUGCCGCAGGUUCGAAUCCUGCCGGGGGCA